rnacentral:lncRNA from 1 species
GUGACACACAGACAAAUGCAUGAGUCAAUAAUGACCAGAAUGAUCCAGAAUAUCUCUAUCAUUUGGUAAUGAAAGUGAUUAUCUUAGAUACAAUCUUACAGCGUGAUUCAUCUGUCUGUCUGUGUUGUCCACCUCUAGGUCUUUGCCUUGUGAUUCAUCUGUCUGUCUGUGUUGUCCACCCCUAGGUCUUUGCCUUGUGAUUCAUCUGUCUGUCUGUGUUGUCCACCCCUAGGUCUUUGCCUUGUGAUUCAUCUGUCUGUCUGUGUUGUCCACCCCUAGGUCUUUGCCUUGUGAUUCAUCUGUCUGUCUGUGUUGUCCACCUCUAGGUCUCUUUGCCUUGUGAUUCAUCUGUCUGUCUGUGUUGUCCACCCCUAGGUCUUUGCCUUGUGAUUCAUCUGUCUGUCUGUGUUGUCCACCCCUAGGUCUUUGCCUUGUGAUUCAUCUGUCUGUCUGUGUUGUCCACCCCUAGGUCUUUGCCUUCAACACAGAGGAGAUGGAGAGGGAAGGGUAAGUGUAGCUGUAUAGUUCUAAUAGAGAGGGAAGGGUAAGUGUAGCUGUAUAGAUGGAGAGGGAAGGGUAAGUGUAGCUGUAUAGAUGGAGAGGGAAGGGUAAGUGUAGCUGUAUAGAUGGAGAGGGAAGGGUAAGUGUAGCUGUAUAGAUGGAGAGGGAAGGGUAAGUGUAGCUGUAUAGAUGGAAGGGAAGGGUAAGUGUAGCUGUAUAGAUGGAGAGGGAAGGGUAAGUGUAGCUGUAUAGAUGGAGAGGGAAGGGUAAGUGUAGCUGUAUAGAUGGAGAGGGAAGGGUAAGUGUAGCUGUAUAGAUGGGGAGGGAAGGGUAAGUGUAGCUGUAUAGAUGGAGAGGGAAGGGUAAGUGUAGCUGUAUAGAUGGAGAGGGAAGGGUAAGUGUAGCUGUAUAGAUGGAGAGGGAAGGGUAAGUGUAGCUGUAUAGAUGGGAAGGGUAAGUGUAGCUGUAUAGAUGGAGAGGGAAGGGUAAGUGUAGCUGUAUAGAUGGAGAGGGAAGGGUAAGUGUAGCUGUAUAGAUGGAGAGGGAAGGUGUAGCUGUAUAGAUGGGAAGGGUAAGUGUAGCUGUAUAGAUGGGGAGGGAAGGUGUAGCUGUAUAGAUGGAGAGGGAAGGGUAAGUGUAGCUGUAUAGAUGGAGAGGGAAGGGUAAGUGUAGCUGUAUAGAUGGGGAGGGAAGGGUAAGUGUAGCUGUAUAGAUGGAGAGGGAAGGGUAAGUGUAGCUGUAUAGAUGGAGAGGGAAGGGUAAGUGUAGCUGUUUAGAUGGAGAGGGAAGGGUAAGUGUAGCUGUAUAGAUGGAGAGGGAAGGGUAAGUGUAGCUGUAUAGAUGGAGAGGGAAGGGUAAGUGUAGCUGUAUAGAUGGAGAGGGAAGGGUAAG